AUUGAACGCUGGCGGCAGGCCUAACACAUGCAAGUCGAACGAGUGGCGGACGGGUGAGUAAUGUCUGGGAAACUGCCUGAUGGAGGGGGAUCACUACUGGAAACGGUAGCUAAUACCGCAUACCAUCAGAUGUGCCCAGAUGGGAUUAGCUUGGUGGUGGGGUAACGGCUCACCAAGGCGACGCUCCCUAGCUGGUCUGAGAGGAUGACCAGCCACACUGGAACUGAGACAAGGUCCAGACUCCUACGUGAGGCAGCAGUGGGGAAUAUUGCACAAUGGGCGCAAGCCUGAGGCAGCCAUGCGGCGUGUAUGAAGAAGGUCUUCGGGUUGUAAAGUACUUUCAGCGGGGAGGCGUUACCCGCAGAAGAAGCAACGGCUAACUCCGUGCCAGCAGCCGCGGUAAUUC
rnacentral:rRNA from 1 species